rnacentral:lncRNA from 1 species
GACCUGUGUGGGUGGCGCCGCGUCGGGCGGCGGAUGUGUAGUGCGGCUUCCGUAGGUGGGCGCGUUCUCUCGCCACUUGUAACCACGUCACGUGAGAAAUGAAGUGUCGGGUCCCUGGUGGGAGCCGAAGCGAGUGACAGGGGAGGCGUCCCCACUUCCCUAAGAGAAAACAAGGGCCGCGAUGCCUUUAGCCUAGGGUAACUAGACCUGGUUUUCAAUCUCUGUGGCAUCCCGUAAGGUAACCCGGGCCCUUCUGCUUCUCCACCUCUUCUUCUGUUACUCAGCCCGAGCGCACACUUUACAGACUUUUAACCAAGCAUUUGCUAAAUACUAGCCAUCUCACUCUGGGCAAGUCCGUGAGUCUCCAAAAGGAAGAUUAUUAUUAAAUACCCCGGCAGCGCUCUGAUCAAAAGCUAUCCCGAAGUUAAAGCGCUUAACCUCCAAGUCUUACAGAGAGCCAGGGCGCCCUAAAUGGUGGUUAAUUUAUGAUCACGGGCAAACGACUACUUGAGGCUUUGCCUGGGUGGUAAAGUUGUGUCUGCUGAGAUGAAGAUGAGGACCAGAGGGGGCCAGCGACCUCCAAAUGUCUAUGUGAACGUUUACACUGUGGGUCCUUGGUUUUCAUCAUGUUGUCAAAAGUAAUGAACACCUUCCUUGGACUUGAAAGAAGAGCCCAUUAUCUCGGCCAUGUUUGUCAAGAAACUAGGUGUCCUGUAUGCGCCUGUGGUCUCUGUUCUUCCCACUGUGAAAUCUCUCCAGUCUCUGUGGCAGGCAUCUACACCACCAUAAAGGCUGGUGUAGAGAGACAAACCUAAUUUUGAAUAAAUGAAUGAAUACAUUUCCUUAUUCAUUUUUAAAUGAAGACAUGCCAAGGCAAGAUCAUCAAAUUAAGCUGGGCAGUGGUGGCACACGCCUUUAAUCCCUGCACUUGGGAGGC